GACGAACGCUGGCGGCGUGCUUAACACAUGCAAGUCGAGCGGUAAGGCCCUUUCGGGGGUGCACGAGCGGCGAACGGGUGAGUAACACGUGGGUGACCUGCCCUUAGCUCUGGGAUAAGCCUGGGAAACUGGGUCUAAUACCGGAUAUGACUCCAUGACGCAUGUUGUGGGGUGGAAAGCCUUGUGCGGCUAGGGAUGGGCCCGCGGCCUAUCAGCUUGUUGGUGGGGUGANGGCCUACCAAGGCGACGACGGGUAGCCGGCCUGAGAGGGCGACCGGCCACACUGGGACUGAGACACGGCCCAGACUCCUACGGGAGGCAGCAGUGGGGAAUCUUGCGCAAUGGGCGAAAGCCUGACGCAGCGACGCCGCGUGGGGAUGACGGCCU
rnacentral:rRNA from 1 species